CUCCUUUGUAGCAACAGCCAAGCAUUCCGCUGCAGUUGCAAGCAUCCUGCGGGGGCUAAUGGCAGCUUUUCAUUUUUAUGGGCAAUUGAAAAUGAGUAGCAGCUGAGACUGCAUCGGACCCACAACAGCAAAUGGCUUUGUUUGGGGGAUGGAAACUGGAAGAACCGAGAACUAUUGUGAAACGAGCAAAGCAGUGCAGGCAGCUGCGGCUCUUGGCGGACACCCACUCCAUGAGGAACGAGAAACUAAAGUCCAAAAGGCUUGAGCAACUUGGAGAUCAAAUAUUAGGAGAGUUUAACUCAAUUGUAAAUACCAGCAUGACGCAAAGCAUGGAGCAAAGACCAUGUCAUCCUUCUUUCUCCACGGUGGAUGAAGGUGAAUUUAAAACAUUCCUCUUCUCAGAAGAUGGAAAGUGUUUGCAUAAUUCAAUAGGAAACUUAGAGGCAGUGUAGUCCCCAAGCGAAGCGCCAUGUUCAGUUCCGAGGUCAGCAAGAUGACGCCAUCCUUCCUCUUCAAUGGACUGUUUAGAUUUAUGAUUAAAUAAUUCUUCAUAUUAUUAUACUGAUCAUCAUUCUGUGAGUCUUCUUGAGAUUGCUAUAAAUCUUAAUGAAAUACAUGUUCAUUCGAUUUAAUUAAAAGCAGUCAAAGCAGCCUAUUUAAAACGUAUCUAUGAAACAUGAAUUCAAUUGCUACUUAGAGAUAGUAGUAUCUACAUUUUUAUGAAGCAGCCACUUCAAAAUUUGAGAGAAAAAGCCCAUCAUUUGAUUCAGGGCUGAAUAAAAACCAGAGAAAAGAAUAAGAGACUUCA
rnacentral:lncRNA from 1 species